ACAGCUCUCCAGGCCACAAGCAGAGCAGUUAUGUUAGACGUAUUCCUUUUUUAUUUCCUCCUAGACUAUCUCUGUCCAGUGGGUCACUAUUGCCCCUCUGGCAGCCCUGAGCCCAUACCAUGUCCCUCUGGGAAAUAUCAGGACCAGGCUGGUAAAAGCCAGUGUGAAACAUGCCCAGCAGGAAUGUUCUGUGCCCUAAAGGACCACCCAGACAAUCUUCAAGAGAACUCCCUUGGGAUAAUCGAACCAACGGACUGUCCAGCAGGAUAUUACUGCCUCUCAGGCACAAAAGCUGCCAAUCAGUACCCGUGCCCAGUGGGGACCUACAGUAACGAGACUGGACUAAGAAAUCAGAGAGACUGCAGACCUUGUCCUGGAGGCAUGUUUUGUGCCAGUGCAGGACUCGUGUCCCCAAGCGGUACUUGUUUGCCUGGGUAUUACUGCACUUCAAAGGCACGUAUACCAAACCCAGUCAGUGAUGAGGCUGGGGGCCUUUGUCCAGCAGGCCAUUACUGCCUGCCAGGCAGCAGCAAGCCAGAGCCAUGUCCCACUGGCACGUUUUUGCCUCUGUCUGGAAUGGUUUACCGUAACGCCUGUCUGCCCUGCCCUGGGGGGAGGUUCUGCCGAGGAGAGGGCCUGACCAGUGUUUCAGGAUUGUGUUAUGCUGGCUAUUUCUGUGAUGCUGGGUCCACACAGCCGGACCAUAAGCAGUGCCCCCCUGGCUCCUACUGUCCUGAAGGCUCUGAAUCCCCAGUCCCUUGCAGCCCUGGGCACUUCAACUCUGACAGUGGAAAAUGGCAGACAAGAGACUGCCAGCUCUGCCCUGCUGGGUAUUUCUGUAGUGGUUCUGGAGCACGUACUCCUGAGCUGUGCCCUGCUGGGUACUUCUGUCUGCCAGGUACCAACUUCAGUGCACAGUAUCCAUGUCCGAAGGGAACGUUUGGCCCCAGGGCUGGUGCCACUAGUAGCUCUGACUGCGAGCCCUGCCCAGCAGGUAAGCAGGGACAUGGCAUGAGGAACUCAGGGGGUACAUGUGGAAAAGCUCAGGAAAAUGUGUCUUCUCCCUUCAUGUUACUGACUCCUCCACCAGUCUUCUGUGCAGGCCAUGUUAUGGAGAUUGCUUUUCUGUUCGUUUUAGGCAUGUAUUGCUCAGCACCGGGUCUUUCCCAGCCUUCUGGAUUGUGCUACUCAGGUUAUCACUGUGCCAGUGGAGCCACCAGCCCAGCGCCCUUCAAACACAGGGUGAGUGAGUGCUGGGCAGCAGCAGAGUAAGGCUAGCUUCCUGGGGACAAGGACUGGACUGUCACAAUCUCAUAGCUUCUAGCGUAACGUUUUCCAAGUAGUACUGCUCUGUAUAGAGUUACUCUUGCCUGCUACUGCUGCCCUUGAGAGCUCCCCAGGUAGCCUAAUGUUCUGCUCUUAACAUCUGCUGGAACAUGUAGCUGCCUGCUAACAACUUCUGGCCAGACCUCCAUUUCUGUAGAUUGUACUGGAGCGUGCAAAGGUCUCUUCCAAAUGAUGACAGCAGUGAUCAGAUAGCCAUGGCUCAGCAGCCAACACUUCCAGCAACCUUUUUAUGCCAGCUGUGGUCUUCAUGUAGUUUCAGGGGCAGAAAGCUUGCAGGACUCAGCUCAUACAUAACCUUUCCAGAACCUAUCCCUGUAGUACUUGGUGCCAAAGUUUGUUUCAGUAAUAUUUUUGCUUUCUUUCUCUGUUUUCUUUUUUUCUUACACAGGUGGAAUCUUCUGGCCUUGGUGUGCCUACUAAUGACAUCUGUCCCGUCGGGCAUUUCUGCCCCACUGGUACAGGUUAUCCCCUGCCCUGUCCUCCUGGAUCCUUCUCUGCUGUCACGGGCCUGGAGGCAGAAGAGCAGUGCCAGCCCUGCCCAGCAGGACGGUAUUGCAGUGGCGCAGGAUUGUUUGAUCUGGCUCAGAUGUCGCUGUGUAACGCAGGGUGCGGUGAGAAAGUCGCUUGUUAGUGGGAAAAUACAGCUGACGGGAUUACUGUAGGUUAAAGCAGUCUCUUGUGUGCAAACAUUUAUACUCAAGAUUAAUUAAACUGCAAAGACUUUGUUCUUAGCCCUCCAGGUUGUCUAUACAGCAUCUGCUUGGUGAUCUCACUAAAUGGCGUCAAAACUAUUCCUUCUCCCUCUACAUUUGCCUCACAUUCUGUCCCAGCCUUAUACAUGGUCUUUUACUGUUUUCCCCUUAGGUUCAGUUUAUUACAAAACCCUUAUUUAGUCUCAUAAUUACACUUGAUGAGCAUUUGACCU
ensembl:lncRNA